rnacentral:sRNA from 1 species
GUUAAUGCAGGUAAUAUAGCAUUAUUGUGGGUUCUACCAUUUGAGCAUAUAAAUCAUAUGCAGAUAUUAACUAUUCAUAUAUUUAUGUAGUUUAAAUGAAAAUAAUUUGAAUGUUUAAUACUCUUCCCUUCUUCAAUUGUAGAAACAUUACCCUUUUGCACUAUCUCAUCACUAUUGUGGAAAAUAAGUACCCUAGUGUUCUCAAUCUAAAUGAAGAAUUGCGAGAUAUUCCUCAAGCUGCGAAAGUAAACAUGACUGAGCUGGACAAAGAAAUAAGUACCUUGAGAAGUGGCUUGAAAGCAGUAGAGACAGAGCUGGAAUAUCAGAAGUCUCAGCCCCCACAUCCCGGAGAUAAGUUUGUGUCUGUUGUCAGCCAGUUCAUCACAGUAGCCAGCUUCAGCUUCUCUGAUGUUGAAGACCUUCUAGCAGAAGCUAAAGACCUGUUUACUAAAGCAGUGAAGCACUUUGGGGAAGAGGCUGGCAAAAUACAACCAGAUGAGUUCUUUGGCAUUUUUGAUCAAUUUCUUCAAGCUGUGUCAGAAGCCAAACAAGAAAACGAAAA